UUGAGCAAACUCCAGGAGAUGCUGAAAGACAGGGAAGCCUGCCUUGCUGCAGUCCAAGGGGUCGCAAAGAGUUGGACAUGGCUGAGUGGCUGACCAACAACCCUGCUGGGUGAGGCUGGUCUGGAGGCUUGUGCCUGCACAGUGAUGGUUAGAACUGGGUCUUGACCCUUUUGGGGGUAGAGUUACAUCGAAAAGCAUGUGUACAGGAAGCCUUUGGACAGCCUGUCUGCUGAUGGUUAGGGCUUCAUCUUGGCCCUUCCAUCCUUUGGCCUUAGGGGCCUCAUUGCUGUAGCCUACACGUUCUGAGUAGAUCCAAUGUUGGGCCAAGAUGGAGACCUCACGCAGAUGAGUGUUCUCUCAUAGUUCUGCCCUCAGGAUUUGUUUCCCCACAGUUAGCCACAGCCCACCCCCCACCCUCCAGAGAUCCUUCAAGACCAGCAGGCAGGUCUCAACAUCCAGGAUCCUAGCAAACGAUUGUGUUUUGCCCUUCAUCUCAGCUUCGUCUCAGGGUGCGUGAGGCUUCGUCUGCACCUGUUAAGAGUGAAGUCUCUGUUUUCCCCAUUCCUGUGGAGCUCCUGCAGUCAGGGCCCGCUGGUCUUCAGAAGUAAAUGUUAAAGAUCUCUAUGGCUUUAUUCAUUGAUUCAUGGUUUGGUCAGCAUCCCACCCGGUAAAUAACAGGUGCUCCCAGAAGCUGUCUGUGGUCUUUACACCAAGGUAUAUGUGAAUCAGUGGGUUGUUUUCAAACUUUUGUGACCUGAGUAUACUCAUAAAUGCCAUGACGUGUACAAAGUAGGUGCAGCAUAAACAUGAAGAAGCUGAGUUUCUGUAGGGGUGGGGUUCACUUCCAUGAAAAAACUGAAAUGGCAAAAUGGUGAAAUGAAAUGUUUAAUUUGGGAGUUGACUGUGAUCAGGUGCUUGAAGGUCAAGUGAGUAGAGUUGCACAAGCACACAGUGAAGGGAAUGACUAUGGAUUCCAACUGUAUUUUGUGACAGGAAACUAGUCUCCAGUGCCAAAUGCCUGCAAGUCAUCGUGCCGUUUCUCAAUGUUGUGUUCACAUUCAGAGCCCAAAGAUCUUGCAGAGAAACUGAGAUGUGUUCUUUGUUCACAAGCGAAAAUACUUUCUUGGAUAACUGAUGUUAAAUUGGACUCAAAUUCACUUUUAUAUCACAGUUGAUGAAGGAACUUGAAUGGAACAAAAAUCACCCCAUCCCAGGAAGUGGCUGAAUGGGAGCUUGAAUCCAUGUUGUCUCACCUCAAAGAUCUCGUCACCAUGUUGCUACACUAGGCCCAGUUCUGGACACCAGAAUUGUAAAAUGAACCCACAGCCCUGUGCUGCAUCUGGAUUCUCCAGGUCAGAAUACUUUUCCUUGCCUUCCCUGUUUCUACAUGUUAUUUUCUUCCUUUGACUCAUUGUUUCCUUAUUCCACCUUUGAAGGCAGCAAGGUGGCAUUAAAAUUUUUUUUUUAAUAUUUAUUUUUUUUGACCAGUUCUUGUUUUAAGCACGUGGGAUCUUUUGUUGUAGCAUUCAAACUCUUAAUUGUGUCAUAUGAUAUCUAGUUCCCUGACCAGGGAUUGAACCAGGGUCCCCUAUGUUGGGAGUGUGGAGUCUUAGCCACUGGACCACCAGGGGAGUCCCAAGGUAUCUUAAAAUCUCUUUACUUUCCAUGACAUCACCGGCUUCAAGAUGAUUCUAUCUCCAUUUGUAUUUUUCUUAGAAGGACCUUUGGAAUUAUAUUUCAUUUACCAGUUCAUCCAAUCUAAUCUCCUGUGUCCAGAUUUUAACUAGAUCACAUUUGCAGACUCCCCUUGGACAUUUAAAGUAGUACUCAACAUGUUCUAGAUAAGAGGAUGUGGGCAGUAUUGGGGCGGGGAGGGUGGUGCAUUAUUCAGCCUACCACAGCCAGACUGUCUUCUCCUGAUGGGUGUACAUUUUUAACAUCCUUUUCUCUCCAUAUAGCUUUUAUCACUUUUUGUUAAAACAUUGAUUUGUAUUUAUUAAUUUGGCUAUGUCGGGCUUUGAUUGUGGCACCUGAGAUCUUCAGUCUUCCUUGUAGCAUCUUUUCCUUGCAGCAUGUAAAGUCUUAGUUGUGGCGUGUGGAAUCUAGUUUCCCGACCAGUGAUCAAAACCAGACCCUCUGCAUUGGGAGCACAGAGUCUUAUCCACUGGAUGGACCACUAGGGAAGUCCUUAUAGCUUUUAUUUACUUUACUCCCUGAAUUUACUGGCUAGAAUGUCUAAAACGAUGUCAAUAGCAGUGCUGAGAAUGGACAUAUUGGUCUGCUCCCUAAUCUGCAGAAAAGCAUCCAGUCUUUCACCAUUGAGUAUGGUGUUUGCUGUAAGUUUUUGCAGGUGUUCUUUCUUGAGUUGAGGGAGGUUCCCACUCUUCUUUGUUUUCUGAAGUUUAUAUUAUAAAUGGUUGUUUACUUUUGUUAAAUGCAGUUUCUGAAUCAAUUGAUAAGACAGUUUGAUUUUCCUUCUUUUGUCUGUCAACAGUCUGGAUGACAUUGAUUGAAAUUCGAGAUAGCCUUCUAUCCCUCAUUCUAUAGCCCCAUUGGAUCACGGCAUACAAUUAUUUUUGUGUCUUGCUGAUUUCUAUUGCUAAUAUUUUGUUAACAAUGUUUGCUUCUUCAUGUGGGAUUUAGUUGGUAGUUAUCUUUAUCUUUUCUUUUCUUCUGAUACCUUUGUCUCCUAUUGUCUCACGGUAAUACUGGCCUCAUACAUUGAGCUGGGACGUGUUCCCUCCUUUUCUUUGGUCUAAAAGAAAUCAUGUCAAGUUGCUGCUAAAUCUUCUUUGUAUGUUUGUUCAGUUAGUCAGUUCAGUCGCUCAGUCAUGUCCGACUCUUUGCCACCCCAUGGACUGCAGUACUCCAGGCUUCCCUGUCCAUCACAAACUCCUGGAGCU